rnacentral:tRNA from 1 species
GCCUCACUAGCUCAGUCGGUUAGAGCAUCCGGCUUUUAACCGGGGGGCCGAGGGUUCGAGUCCCUCGUGGGGUA